UGUACCAUGGGUAUAAGGACUGUUGC
rnacentral:piRNA from 1 species